CUCGUAGGCGGCCAACUAAGUCAAACGUGAAAUCCCUCGGCUUAACCGGGGAACUGCGCUUGAUACUGGAUGGCUUGAGAUUGGGAGAGGGAUGCGGAAUUCCAGGUGUAGCGGUGAAAUGCGUAGAUAUCUGGAGGAACACCGGUGGCGAAGGCGGCAUCCUGGACCAACACUGACGCUGAGUGAGCGAAAGCCAGGGAGCAAACG
rnacentral:rRNA from 1 species